CCUACGGGAGGCAGCAGUGAGGAAUAUUGGUCAAUGGACGAGAGUCUGAACCAGCCAAGUAGCGUGAAGGAUGACUGCCCGAUGGGUUGUAAACUUCUUUUAUAUGGGAAUAAAAUGUUCCACGUGUGGGAUUUUGUAUGUACUAUAUGAAUAAGGAUCGGCUAACUCCGUGCCAGCAGCCGCGGUAAGACGGAGGAUCCGAGCGUUAUCCGGAUUUAUUGGGGUUAAAGGGAGCGUAGGUGGAUUUGUAAGUCAGUUGUGAAAGUUUGCGGCUCAACCGUAAAAUAGCAGUUGAAACUGGCAGUCUUGAGUACAGUAGAGGUGGGCGGAAUUCGUGGUGUAGCGGUGAAAUGCUUAGAUAUCACGAAGAACUCCGAUUGCGAAGGCAGUUCACUGGACUGCAACUGACACUGAGGCUCGAAAGUGUGGGUAUCAAACAGGAUUAGAUACCCUAGUAGUC
rnacentral:rRNA from 1 species